rnacentral:tRNA from 1 species
UCAGAAAUAGUUUAUUAGUUAAAAUAUUAAAUUUGGAAUUUAAAGAAGAAAUUUCUGAA